AUUUCUUUGCCCUAACAGAGGUUCUCUGAGUAGCUUGAUGAAGAUGGAAAGAAUUGUGUUCAGGCAGAGCGUGCAAAUGAAAUAGAUACUAUUUCCAAUACUAGGAGAUGAUUCAUUAUUAAUGUGGCCUUUUCUUUUCAUUGGGCACACAAUAUUUUUGUUACCUUUUUCACUCCACAUUAAUUUCCAUAUUUUCUCAAGAAACCAAGCCCCUAAUUUCCCC
rnacentral:lncRNA from 1 species